GAGUUGGGCGCCAUGGCUGCCUUCUGGGCAGAGUGCAGGGCCUGCCUUAAAUGUUGUGGGGGUUCUGUUCUCAACAAAGGCGUAAGUUGGGAGCGACUGAGCCACUCCAGGAGGAGGUGUGGGCCCACGGCGUGUUGGAGGUGGAGCCACAGGACCUGUCCAUAGGUUGGAUGCUGUGUGGGUGACAGAGAGAAACCGGGGCUCACGGCCUGGGCAGCGGGACGGGCGGAGUCGUCCUCACCUGUGCUGGGGACCCUGUGGGAGCAGCAGGCUUCCGAGCACGUGCUGGACCCCGGCGUCUCCGGCUGCACCGAGUGGUCAGGACAUUGAGGCCGGGUCAGGGAGCGUGAGAUACCGGGACGAGCGGGCCCAGGGCUGAGCCCAGCGGCGUCCGGGUGGGCGGUGGCGUUGAGAUGGGAAUUGGGAAUUGCACCGGUGGUCUCAGGAGGAUGGAAAACCCAAGCAGCAGCUGCACCAGGACCGAGGCAAAGGGACCGCAGUUUAACAGAAAACCCAAAACGAGAGCGAGAAAACGGCCAAACACCCGUGCGAGUGAGACGUCCAUGAGCCUUCCCGGCAAAACGCCCAAUAAGGGAGAAGGGGCAGGCGCGGCGGGGGCCGGGGUUCCCUGAAGUCCCCUUCGUUUCCAGAAUCCCUAAAGAUCAUUCCGCCCCCCAGGGAGGAAACCCAAGCUCCGCCGAGCGCGGCGGGUCUGUGCCUUCGCUUCGCUUCCAGCCUCUCGCUUCCUUCUGACCCGACCCCGAGUUCUUUCUCCGGACGGUGUCGAGAACCCGGGCGCCGGCUGGGGCUGGAGUCUCGCUGGCCUCGGAGCGCCCCCGAGCCCUCGGGCGACAGCGAGGCGAGGACCCAGGGAACGCCAGGCCCCCGGACGCGACCCACGCGGCCGCU
rnacentral:lncRNA from 1 species